UGUACAAACAUCCAAAUGUUUCUACUUCGAUUUCUUUUUGGGUGCAUGUGAUAUUUACACCAGCAAGGACCAGGUUGACACUUCAAUCAACCAAGACGCCGAAGCCUUUGUGUUUUGUCAAUACGAGGAACAACGUUGCACACCUUUUGAGACGUACAUCAUUUCUUCAAUUGGAGCUAGCACCACUCAUGAUGAAUGUUACCAGCUUUCCUUAAACGACCCAAAGUCUGUUGGCUAUAAUUAUGUGAGUGGUGUUUGCAAGCUGAAAAUUGGCAUAAAAGAAAUAGAUACCACGAGUAACAGAAACACGUAUGGUUAUUAUCGCUGCUCAUUGGCAACGCAAGACACAACAACAGAGUCGGCUACCACUACCAGAACGACAAAAAAACACUGCAAGAAAGGCUAAGGAGGCAACGAUUCAUGGCC